rnacentral:lncRNA from 1 species
UUUUAUGCAAAUAUUCAAUACAAAACUUAGUCGUAAAUAGCGACUAACAACAACCACCACUAUCUUCGCUGCCACCACUCGUCGCCAUUGUCACCGUCGCAACCAUCAUUACUGUCAUUUUCGUCACGACAACCACCACCAUUAUUGCCGCCGCUACCAUCAUCACUGCUAUUGCGAUCAUCACUGCAACUACCACCAUCACUGUCACUGUCAUCAUCGUCGCUGCCACCAUCCCCUAUCGUUAUCUGGUUCAUACCAUGGUGUGCACCAAACAUUAGAUAGGAUUAAGACUUAUUUUAUUCUUAUCCUAUGAUAUUCUUUUCUUAUUGGUAUAUUCUAUCUUAUUCUAUCGUGUCCUCACCACCAAGAGAGCCCUAAAUAGAAAAGUUAAUAAAUAAUAACCCUACAUGUG